AUGGAGCUUGCAGCUCUCUUGUAAAAGAGGAGCCAGAAAGCUAUUUAGCUUUCUGUCCACAAUGUAAGACUACAAGAAGACAGUCACACAGCACAUCAGAAGCAGGCUUUCAUCAGAUACUGGACCUGUCAGUACCUUAAUCUUGGGCCUACAGACUCCAGAACUCUGAGAAAUAAAAGUUUGUUGUGUAAGUCUCCUCAUCUAUGGCAAUUUGUUAUAGCAGCUCAAACAGACUAAGACAAUGUUUAAAACCCAAAUCAUGAUCUCCACAACAUAUGUCUUCCUCCUGUUGUGGUUAUUUCUCUCAAUGAACGUCUCAAUGUAUCUCAGUGCCCUUAGGGUCACUUUUGUCUUCUUCAUGUUCAAGGAUCCAGUUCUAUUUCAGCAUAGAAUGGUAUGUUAUAUCUAUCUGUUCUGUCUUGUAACUUACUUUUUCUACUUUUGUUUAGGCCGUCAAAGCUUCUCUUGGACUUCAAGGAAAGAAAUGUAUCCAUUACUUGAAAUGGUUAUCUCCAGGUGCUGCAGUUGCAAGGUGCUUUAGGCAUGGUGAUGUCCUGGAGGCCACAGGGGACCUCUGCACUCCAGACCCCACAGACUCACAGCCCCGAGCGGCGGCUCUCACGCCUGCUCUCCAGCCCAACACACGUGAGGCCACUGAAGCCAGGCAGACCCAACUGGAAAGGGACUUUCCUCUAUAUUUAACCCUUUUCUUGCAAUAAGAACUUUGCUGUUACCUUGGCAACAAUGUAUAACACUGAGUACCUGGAAAUCAUGGUACUGCCUUCUCUGUGUGCUACAAAAGUUUCAACUAAGGGCACUUUAAUUACAUGUUCCUGUGUCAAAUUCCCUUCUUGAUGUGUUCUUCUUAAAUUUUGUCAAGUUUAGUGCCUUUGUCACCAAAAGCUUACUUGUGAUGGGCUUUUUGGCAGGUAGAUCAGGUAUGCUGUCUUUUCUGGUUCAGUUAUUAUGUUUCUGUUAGUCCUGAGAAGUGGGUAUGAAGCAGAAGGCCUGGGAGAACAGUGGCCUGGAGCUAGGCCUUUCCUUGAACUGGGGGGUCACUUAUCUCUGUCUCUGUUGUAUCCAUUUGCCUCUCAGCUGCUCUUGUGAGAGCUGGCUGGGCACAAGUGAAGGACCUUUGCCAUUUUGUUUGAAGCAACGAGCUCGAGUGGUCUUAGAUAAGGUUUAGUUUAUAUUUUAGAGAAAAUAGCCAAGCAGCUUAUUAAUCAAUAAAGUUUAUAAUGGAUGAUGCACCCACCUUUUAUUCAGUUAUAAAAGGUUGGACAUGUAUGACCAGAUCCCCAAACUCCAAAUGCAAGGCCAUGUAAAAUUUUGCCAGCAGGGGGCACUUCUCUCCUACUCUUACCAAAUUACAGUCUGUAAGAAAAGAAAUAAAUGUUCUUAUUUCUUUGCUGUUAGGCCCUCAGCAUGAUCUUAGAUUUAAGCUUAGCCAGACUCAGGCAUUUCUCUUCCUCCUUUUAUAGCAGUUUAGUCGGCAAUAUUUGUUUAUACUUUGCAAUACAUUUAUAACGUCUUUCCGCAAAGGAUUUGAAAUUGCUUACAACAUAUAGUAUACAAUAGUAAAAUACGAAGAGAGAGUGUAAGUUACCAUAAAGAAUAUCAUAUUUGAUUCAGGGUUGCUGGUAGCUGAAGUAGUAAUACGGUUUUCAUUAUCAGGUUUUUGGAGGAAGUGGUCACUUAGGGCAAGUUUUUUUGUGACCUAAAUGUUAUUCCUGCCCUAUGAAAACCUAAGCAGUACGUUUACUGAGCUGCAUCUUGAGGGCUAUGUAAUCAGUUUUCUUUCAACUAUAAGUUUCCUCUUCUCUCUCUCUCUCUCUCUCUCUCUCUCUCUCUCUCUCUCUCCUUUCUUUCUUUCUUGACAGAGUCUCGCUAUGUAGUUCAGACUGGCCUUCAACUCACUAUGUAGCCCAGGCUGCCCUUGAAUUUACCUUUUCAAGAUGCCAUCGUCACCCAUCCGUUAAUCUCAGAUUGUCCUGAGCGUUGGGAGCACAAGCAUUUAUCACUUAGGUAGGCUUGUGCCCAAACAAGGUAGAAGAAUCCUCUGUCUCAGCUUUUGACUAGUUGGAGAGAGACUUACGUUUACACUCGAGACAAAAUUAGCUACGUUAUCAUUGUUAAGUCUGUCUCUUAUUAAGGGUCUAAACAGUGAAUUGGUAAAUUCCAUGUCUUUUACGUUUCUAACACGACACAGCUUCCUUUGAGUAAAGUUUUUUUGGGAUGAGGGAUCCGCGAUAGCUGAGGUGGGAGGGGAGGACCGCUGAGAGCUGGGAGGCAAUCAGAAACUGCGCCUUGCCCCGCCCACCGCUGUGCGAGGCUGGGACAAAGACCGGAGGCCGACCCUGGGACCCGUCCCUGCUCUGGGGGAGUGGCGGGGCCGGCUUUGUGGCGCGCGCGGAUCCCAGCGCGGGUGGCGAGGAAGGCGCUCGCGGCCUGGCGCUCCGCCUGGCUGUGCCGCAUGGC
rnacentral:lncRNA from 1 species